rnacentral:rRNA from 1 species
CUANUNUAAUNUAGAGUCGUGGAAAGNUUUUUCGCUAAGGGAUCGGCCUAUAUUGUAUCAGCUAGUUGGUGNGGUAAAGGCUCACCAAGGCAAUGACACAUAGCGGGUCUGAGAGGAUGAUCCGCCACACUGGUACUGAGACACGGACCAGACUCCUACGGGAGGCAGCAGUGAGGAAUAUUGCACAAUGGAGGAAACCCUGAUGCAGCAACGCCGCGUGGAGGAUGACGCAUUUCGGUGUGUAAACUCCUUUUAUAUGUCAAGAAAAUGACGGUAGCAUAUGAAUAAGCGCCGGCUAACUCCGUGCCAGCAGCCGCGGUAAUACGGAGGGCGCAAGCGUUACUCGGAAUCACUGGGCGUAAAGGACGCGUAGGCGGGUUAUCAAGUCAGGUGUGAAAUCCUACAGCUUAACUGUAGAACUGCACUUGAAACUGGUAACCUAGAGUAUGGGAGGGGCAGAUGGAAUUAGUGGUGUAGGGGUAAAAUCCGUAGAUAUCACUAGGAAUACCUAAAGCGAAGGCGAUCUGCUGGAACAUUUACUGACGCUAAGGCGUGAAAAGCGUGGGGAGCAAAACGGGAUUAGAUACCCCGGUAGUCCAACGCCCUAAACGAUGAACACUAGUCGUCGGGAUGCUAGUCAUCUCGGUGAUGCACUUAACAGAUUAAGUGUUCCGCCUGGGGAGUACGGUCGCAAGAUUAAAACUCAAAGGAAUAGACGGGGACCCGCACAAGUGGUGGAGCAUGUGGUUUAAUUCGAAGAUACGCGAAAAACCUUACCUGGCCUUGACAUUGAUAGAAUUCUAUAGAGAUAUGGAAGUGCCCUUCGGGGAACUUGAAAACAGGUGCUGCACGGCUGUCGUCAGCUCGUGUCGUGAGAUGUUGGGUUAAGUCCCGCAACGAGCGCAACCCUCGUCUUUAGUUGCCAGCAGUUAGGCUGGGCACUCUAAAGAGACUGCCUUCGUAAGAAGGAGGAAGGUGAGGACGACGUCAAGUCAUCAUGGCCCUUACGGCUAGGGCGACACACGUGCUACAAUGGAUAGGACAAUGAGACGCAAUACCGCGAGGUGGAGCAAAUCUAUAAACCUAUUCUCAGUUCGGAUUGUAGUCUGCAACUCGACUACAUGAAGCUGGAAUCACUAGUAAUCGUAGAUCAGCCAUGCUACGGUGAAUACGUUCCCGGGUCUUGUACUCACCGCCCGUCA